rnacentral:rRNA from 1 species
UACAGAGGGUGCAAGCGUUGUUCGGAAUUAUUGGGCGUAAAGGGCGCGCAGGUGGUGCGGUAAGACUGCCGUGAAAUCUCCUGGCUCAACUGGGAGGGUGCGGUGGAGACUGCCGGACUAGAGGCACUCAGAGGCCGGUGGAAUUCCUGGUGUAGCAGUGAAAUGCGUAGAUAUCAGGAGGAACAUCGAUGGCGAAGGCAGCCCCUUGGACCUGUACUGACGCCCAUGCACGAAAGCGUGGGGAGCAAACAGG